rnacentral:rRNA from 1 species
CUCUUUCACUCCUACGGGAGGCAGCAGUGGGGAAUAUUGCACAAUGGGGGAAACCCUGAUGCAGCCAUGCCGCGUGUGUGAAGAAGGCCUUCGGGUUGUAAAGCACUUUCAGUAGGGAGGAAGGUAGUGUAGUUAACACCUGCAUUAUUUGACGUUACCUACAGAAGAAGCACCGGCUAACUCCGUGCCAGCAGCCGCGGUAAUACGGAGGGUGCGAGCGUUAAUCGGAAUUACUGGGCGUAAAGCGCAUGCAGGCGGCCUGUUAAGUCAGAUGUGAAAGCCCGGGGCUUAACCUCGGAAUUGCAUUUGAAACUGGCAGGCUAGAGUCUUGUAGAGGGGGUAGAAUUUCAGGUGUAGCGGUGAAAUGCGUAGAGAUCUGAAGGAAUACCAGUGGCGAAGGCGGCCCCCUGGACAAAGACUGACGCUCAGAUGCGAAAGCGUGGGGAGCAAACAGGAUUAGAUACCCUGGUAG